rnacentral:rRNA from 1 species
CCUACGGGAGGCAGCAGUGGGGAAUAUUGGGCAAUGGGCGCAAGCCUGACCCAGCAACGCCGCGUGAAGGAAGAAGGCUUUCGGGUUGUAAACUUCUUUUCUGAGGGACGAAGAAAGUGACGGUACACCAGGAAUAAGCCACGGCUAACUACGUGCCAGCCGCCGCGGUAAUACGUAGGUGGCAAGCGUUAUCCGGAUUUAUGGGGUGUAAUGGGCGUGUAGGCGGGAAAGCAAGUCAGAUGUGAAAACUCAGGGCUCAACCCUGAGCCUGCAUUUGAUACUGUUGUGCUUGAGUGCUGGAGAGGCAAUCGGAAUUCCGUGUGUAGCGGUGAAAUGCGUAGAUAUACGGAGGAACACCAGUGGCGAAGGCGGAUUGCUGGACAGUAACUGACGCUGAGGCGCGAAAGCGUGGGGAGCAAACAGGAUUAGAUACCCCAGUAGUC